rnacentral:rRNA from 1 species
AGCGAACGCUGGCGGCAGGCCUAACACAUGCAAGUCGAACGAAGUCUUCGGACUUAGUGGCGGACGGGUGAGUAACACGUGGGAACGUACCUUUUGGUUCGGAACAACUCAGGGAAACUUGAGCUAAUACCGGAUGAGCCCUUAGGGGGAAAGAUUUAUCGCCGAAAGAGCGGCCCGCGUUAGAUUAGCUAGUUGGUGAGGUAAAGGCUCACCAAGGCUACGAUCUAUAGCUGGUCUGAGAGGUUGAUCAGCCACACUGGGACUGAGACACGGCCUAGACUCCUACGGGAGGCAGCAGUGGGGAAUCUUGCGCAAUGGGCGAAAGCCUGACGCAGCCAUGCCGCGUGAAUGAUGAAGGUCUUAGGAUUGUAAAAUUCUUUUACCAGGGACGAUAAUGACGGUACCUGGAGAAAAGCCCCGGCUAACUUCGUGCCAGCAGCCGCCGUAAUAC